rnacentral:rRNA from 1 species
GACGAACGCUGGCGGCGUGCUUAACACAUGCAAGUCGAACGGAAAGGCCCUGCUUUUGUGGGGUGCUCGAGUGGCGAACGGGUGAGUAACACGUGAGUAACCUGCCCUUGACUUUGGGAUAACUUCAGGAAACUGGGGCUAAUACCGGAUAGGAGCUCCUGCUGCAUGGUGGGGGUUGGAAAGUUUGGCGGUUGGGGAUGGACUCGCGGCUUAUCAGCUUGUUGGUGGGGUAGUGGCUUACCAAGGCUUUGACGGGUAGCCGGCAUGAGAGGGUGACCGGCCACAUUGGGACUGAGAUACGGCCCAGACUCCUACGGGAGGCAGCAGUGGGGAAUAUUGCACAAUGGGCGGAAGCCUGAUGCAGCAACGCCGCGUGCGGGAUGACGGCCUUCGGGUUGUAAACCGCUUUCGCCUGUGACGAAGCGUGAGUGACGGUAAUGGGUAAAGAAGCACCGGCUAACUACGUG